rnacentral:rRNA from 1 species
ACAUGCGCAAAUACUAUAUCGUUCCCUCUCUUUAUGGGAGGGUGGUGAUAUAGUAGUGUUUAUUAGAUACAGAACCAACACAUCAUUAUUAUCAUUCUAUGAUGAUAGUGAUGUAAAAUAAGGUGAUUCAUAGUAACCGAACGGAUCGCAUUAUAAUUAUCAUUAUUUGAUGAUUGGCGAUAGAUCAUUCAAGUUUCUGACCUAUCAGCUUUCGACGGUAGUGUAUUGGACUACCGUGGCAGUGACGGGUAACGGGGAAUUAGGGUUCGAUUCCGGAGAGGGAGCCUGAGAAACGGCUACCACAUCUAAGGAAGGCAGCAGGCGCGCAAAUUACCCAAUCCUGACUCAGGGAGGUAGUGACAAGAAAUAACAACACUGGAAAUUUGAUUUCUAGUGAUUGGAAUGAUGGGAAUCCAAACCCCUUUCAGAGUAACAAUUGGAGGGCAAGUCUGGUGCCAGCAGCCGCGGUAAUUCCAGCUCCAAUAGCGUAUAUUAAAGUUGUUGCAGUUAAAAAGCUCGUAGUUGGAUGUCUGUUGGAAGCAAUCAUCAGUCCGCCCUAUUUGAUUAGGGUGUGAAUAUGAUGAAUUCCGGCAUAAUUGUCUCCCUAUUAUCAAUAUAUAAGAUGAUCAUUAUUAGAUUCAUUUCUAAUAAUGCGUCUACUAUAUUAUUGGUAGUAUGGGAGAAAUGUUACUUUGAGAAAAUUAGAGUGUUUGAAGCAGGCUUUUGUUGCCUUGAAUACUGCAGCAUGGAAUAACAAUAUAGGAUUUCGGUUCUAUUUUGUUGGUUUUUUUUAGGACUGAAAUAAUGAUUAAUAGGGACAGUUGGGGGCAUUCGUAUUUAACUGUCAGAGGUGAAAUUCUUAGAUUUGUUA